CCAUGCAUGUCUAAGUAUGAACUGGUUUAAGGUGAAACUGCGUACGGCUCAUUACAUCAGCUAUAACUUUCUUUGAUCAUAAAUUCUAAAUGGAAUAACCGAGGAAAAGCCUGGGCUAAUACAUGCGACAAUUCCGGUAGUAAUAUCGGAAUGCUUUUAUUAGAUCAAAACCUUCUAGUUCCUUCACGGGAACUGUUUGUUGGUGACUCUAAAUAACUUUGUGUUGAUCGUAUGACCUUCGUGUCGACGACAUAUCUUUCAAGUGUCUGACUUAUCAACUUUAGACGGUACAUUAUAUGUCUACCGUGGUUGUAACGAGUACAGAGAAUCAGGGUUUGGUUCUGGAGAGGCCGCCUGAGAAACGGCGACCACUUCCAAGGAAGGCAGCAGGCGCGCAAAUUACCCACUCUCAAAACGAGGAGGUAGUGAAGAGAAAUAACGAUGUUAGUCUUUUAUAGGCUGAUAAUCGGAAUGGAAACACUGUAAAUAGGUUAUUGAAAACUAAAGUUGCUGUGUUUAAAAAGCUCGUAGUUGAAUUUCGGGUAUUUGUUGCUAGCUGGUCUAACUGGCCAUGUUGGUUAACAGAUCCUCACUUGCUGGACGGCUGGCGAUGAUCUUUAUCGGUUGUCGUCAGUUGCCAGAACGUUUACUUUGAGAAAAUUAGAGUGCUAAAAGCAGGCUCACGCCUAUAUAUAUUCAUGGAAUAAUGAAAUAAGAUCUCGAUUUUAUUUCGUUGGUUUUAGAAAUUGAGAUAAUGAUUAAUAGGAUCAGAGGGGGGCGUACGUACUGUGGUGUGAGAGGUGAAAUUCUUGGAUCGCCACAGGACGAACAGCAGCGAAGGCGUUCGCCAAGAAUGUUUUCAUUAAUCAAGAACGAAAGUUUGAGGUUCGAAGACGAUUAGAUACCGUCCUAGUUCAAACCAUAAACGUUGCCAACUGUCUUUUAGAUGCGGUUACUCAUAUGACUCAUCUGGCGGAUCUCGAGAAAUCUAAGUUUUUAGGUUCCGGGGGAAGUAUGGUUGCAAAGCUGAAACUUAAAAGAAUUGACGGAAGGACACACAAGAAGUGGAGCCUGUGGCCUAAUUUGACUCAACACGGGAAACCUUACUCGGCCAGGACACUUUUAGGAUUGACAGAUUGAGAGCUCUUUCUUGAUUAGGUGGGUGGUGGUGCAUGGUCGUUCGUAGUUCGUGGAGCGAUUUGUCUGAUUAAUUUCGAUAACGAACGAGACUCCGGCUUACUAAAUAGUCUAAAGUUCGCAGGGACUUUUCAAGACUUCUUAGCAGGAUAAGUGGCACUUUUUAAGCCACACGAAAUGGAGCAAUAACAGGUCUGUGAUGCCCUUAGAUGUCCGAGGCUGCACGCGCGCUACACUGGAGAGUUCAGAAUGUUUCUUCCUACUUCGACAGAAGUGGGUAACCAUGAAAUUCUCUUCGUGACUGGGAUCGGAGCUUGCAAUUAUUCUCCGUCAACGAGGAAUUCCUAGUAAGCACUAUUUCAUCAGAAUGUGCUGAUUAUGUCCCUGUCCUUUGUACACACCGCCCGUCGCUACUACCGAUUGAAUGUUUUAGUGAGAUCUUCGGCUUGGUUUUCCGAGCGGCUUUCGGGUCGUUCGGUAUAUAUCGAAAAGAUGCUCAAACUGGAUCAUUUAGAGGAAGUAAAAGUCGUAACA
rnacentral:rRNA from 1 species